GGAUGAGCCCGCGGCCUAUCAGCUUGUUGGUGGGGUAAUGGCCUACCAAGGCGGCGACGGGUAGCCGGCCUGAGAGGGUGGACGGCCACAUUGGGACUGAGACACGGCCCAGACUCCUACGGGAGGCAGCAGUGGGGAAUAUUGCACAAUGGGCGGAAGCCUGAUGCAGCGACGCCGCGUGGGGGAUGACGGCCUUCGGGUUGUAAACUCCUUUCACCAUCGACGAAGGUUUUCUGACGGUAGAUGGAGAAGAAGCACCGGCUAACUACGUGCCAGCAGCGCGGA
rnacentral:rRNA from 1 species